CCCAGAGCCCAGCUCUGAGCAAAUAGGGCGCACCAAGCGGCGCGAGCAGGCGCAGUGGCGCGCGGCUGGGUGGUGGCUCUCGCAGGGAGGGUGACUCAGAGGGCGAGGGCUGCGCGGGGCGGGAGCGGGGAGCUAGGGAGCCCGCAGCUUGGGGCGAGAGCCCAACCUGCCCAGCAACAGCCGCCCCGCACCGCCGCCUGCGGGAGGGGAUGGGACAGACUGGCCGGCAGGUGCGGCCCGGGAAGGCGCGUCCCUGCAGCUCUUUGUUUUGUGCCUGGCCCGGGCUCCAGCCCCUAAGCUGAGUCACUGCUCCACUCCUGGGCUUGUGGCUACAGGAACCCCUACCGGAAGAUUGCGGCUCUUUCCUGAAGCUGGCUUGUCCAAUGAGGUAGUAGGGACGACAGUCAGGGAGAGGUGGCUUCCUCUCUGCCCGUCGCCAAGGUCACCCCUGGCUCUCGCACGGCCAUGAACUGGAGCCGCUGGCCCUGAGGAUGCCACCCCCAAAGGGAUCGUGGUUUUGAAACCUGUAGUGGCGUGGUCCAGGUGUCCCCAUACCUGCCUUAUGAUGGGGUGCACGUAGCUCCCUGGCCUGAAGUCAUACGGAGGACUUGUCAGAAACGCACAUGGCCAGGCCUUGUUCACAGAGGAUGAGAUUCAGCAGAAUCAGGUGCCAUGAUGAUACGUUUUGGGAAGGAGUUAAGUAACCUGACUCAUGAGCCUGACUCAACUCCCAGUUGAAGACUACAAAAGAACACCCACUCACUCAUUUUCUCCUAUUGAUGACUGCAUGAGAAGACCAAAACCCUGCUUUCUCCUAUUAAGGAUUAGGAAAUACUCACAAAAUUCAUCUCUAUUACCUUCUGCAAAAAGACCCCACAUUACAACAUUCUAUUUGAAGACUGACAUCGACCAAUUCAAAAUUUUGAAAUGACAUGUUUAAACUGCUCCCUUGAUUAUUCCUUUACAAUUCUCCUAAACCUUAACCCUGACAGAACAUGUCUUGGGCUUGCCCCUUGGUUGUGAGCCUGGAUCAUGUUCUCUGUCAUCAGAUAAAUGAUUAGUUGUCUUUCUGUUUGUUUGUUUUUUUCCUCAUACUUCUGUGGGUGACUACCAGCUAGUUCCCUUGGAAUCUCAUAUGGCUGGAGUCACAUAGUGACUGGAACUGGAGGUCAUGGAAGAUUCUCCUCAGGUGUGUAUCCAAGAUGGCAGGCAGCUCACUGACAUGGUUGGCAAAUGAUGCUUAUUUAACUUGAUGUUGAUUUAAGUGUCUGUAUGACUUUCAUGUGCAUUAGGCAUCUCUCAAGACAGCAGCUCCUUUCAAACAGGGAUAUUCCAGAGGAUAUACCCUAUGAAACUGAAGGAAAAGAUCUAAGACAACUAUGCCCUAGCUUUAAAAGUCACCUAGUCUCACUUUCAUAUGUUAGACUGGUGAAAACUGUCACAGAUUCUGCUCAGAUUCAACAGAAUAAAGAAAUAGGCUUGGGUUGUUUUGACUGAUUGA